rnacentral:tRNA from 1 species
GCCCCGAUAGUUCAGUGGAUAGAACGAGCGCCUCCUAAGCGCUAGACACAAGUUCGAUUCUUGUUCGGGGCACCA